rnacentral:rRNA from 1 species
ACUCCUACGGGAGGCAGCAGUGGGGAAUAUUGCACAAUGGGGGAAACCCUGAUGCAGCCAUGCCGCGUGUGUGAAGAAGGCCUUCGGGUUGUAAAGCACUUUCAGUAGGGAGGAAGGUAGUGUAGUUAACACCUGCACUAUUUGACGUUACCUACAGAAGAAGCACCGGCUAACUCCGUGCCAGCAGCCGCGGUAAUACGGAGGGUGCGAGCGUUAAUCGGAAUUACUGGGCGUAAAGCGCAUGCAGGCGGCCUGUUAAGUCAGAUGUGAAAGCCCGGGGCUUAACCUCGGAAUUGCAUUUGAAACUGGCAGGCUAGAGUCUUGUAGAGGGGGGUAGAAUUUCAGGUGUAGCGGUGAAAUGCGUAGAGAUCUGAAGGAUACCGGUGGCGAAGGCGGCCCCCUGGACAGAUACUGACACUCAGAUGCGAAAGCUGGGGGAGCAAACAGGAUUAGAUACCCUGGUAGCACAGAG